rnacentral:rRNA from 1 species
AGCUCCAGUAGCGUAUAUUAAAGUUGUUGCAGUUAAAAAGCUCGUGGUUGAAUGCAAAACUAGUUGGUCAGGUUUACCUCGGUGAACUUGAUCGGCUUGUUUUUUUUGUUGGAUCCACUUAGAGUGCUCUUUAUUGGGUGCUUUAGGUGACCAACGAGUUUACUUUGAAAAAAUUAGAGUGUUCAAAGCAGGCAUUACGCGCCCGAAUACAUGAGCAUGGAAUAAUGGAAUAGGACUUUGGUUCUAUUUUGUUGGUUUCCUGGACCGAAGUAAUGAUUAAGAGGGACAAUUGGGGGCGUCCGUAUUUCGUUGUCAGAGGUGAAAUUCUUGGAUUUACGAAAGACGAACAACUGCGAAAGCAUUCGCCAAGAGUGUUUUCAUUAAUCAAGAACGAAAGUAG